GGGCGUGUGGUGUAGAGGUAUCACGUGUGCUUUGCAUGCAGAAGGCCUCGAGUUCAAUUCUUGGCACGUCCA
rnacentral:tRNA from 1 species